rnacentral:rRNA from 1 species
UACGUAGGGGGCUAGCGUUGCUCGGAAUCACUGGGCGUAAAGGGUGCGUAGGCGGGUCUUUAAGUCAGGGGUGAAAUCCUGGAGCUCAACUCCAGAACUGCCUUUGAUACUGAAGAUCUUGAGUCCGGGAGAGGUGAGUGGAACUGCGAGUGUAGAGGUGAAAUUCGUAGAUAUUCGCAAGAACACCAGUGGCGAAGGCGGCUCACUGGCCCGGUAUGACGCUGAGGCG